rnacentral:rRNA from 1 species
UGGGGAAUAUUGCGCGAUGGGGGGAACCCUGACGCAGCCAUGCCGCGUGAAUGAAGAAGGCCUUCGGGUUGUAAAGUUCUUUCGGUAUUGAGGAAGGUUGAUGUGUUAAUAGCACAUCAAAUUGACGUUAAAUACAGAAGAAGCACCGGCUAACUCCGUGCCAGCAGCCGCGGUAAUACGGAGGGUGCGAGCGUUAAUCAGAAUAACUGGGCGUAAAGGGCACGCAGGCGGUUAUUUAAGUGAGGUGUGAAAGCCCUGGGCUUAACCUAGGAAUUGCAUUUCAGACUGGGUAACUAGAGUACUUUAGGGAGGGGUAGAAUUCCACGUGUAGCGGUGAAAUGCGUAGAGAUGUGGAGGAAUACCGAAGGCGAAGGCAGCCCCUUGGGAAUGUACUGACGCUCAUGUGCGAAAGCGUGGGGAGCAAACAGGAUUAGAUACCCUGGUAGUCCACGCUGUAAACGCUGUCGAUUUGGGGGUUGGGGUUUAACUCUGGCGCCCGUAGCUAACGUGAUAAAUCGACCGCCUGGGGAGUACGGCCGCAAGGUUA